UGCCAGACUCCUCGGGAGGCAGCAGUCGGGAAUAUUGCGCAAUGGAGGAAACUCUGACGCAGUGACGCCGCGUAUAGGAAGAAGUUUUUCGGAAUGUAAACUAUUGUCGUUAGGGAAGAGAAAGGACAGUACCUAAGGAGGAAGCUCCGGCUAACUCCGUGCCAGCAGCCGCGGUAAUACGGGGGGUGCAAGCGUUGUCCGGAAUCAUUGGGCGUAAAGCGUUCGUAGGCGGUAUGUCAAGUCUGAUGUUAAAGCCCGGGGCUCAACUCCGGUUCGGCAUUGGAUACUGGCAAACUAGAAUGUGGUAGAGGUAAAGGGAAUUCCUGGUGUAGCGGUGAAAUGCGUAGAUAUCAGGAGGAACAUCGGUGGCGAAAGCGCUUUACUGGACCAUUAUUGACGCUGAGGAACGAAAGCCAGGGGAGCAAAUGGGAUUAGAUACCCGAGUA
rnacentral:rRNA from 1 species